CUGGCCUAACACAUGCAAGUCGAACGGAGAUUCUGUCGUAAUUCGUUACAGCGGAAAUCUCAGUGGCGAACGGGUGAGUAACGCGUUGGUGACCUGCCCCGGAGAGGGGAAUAACAGCUUGAAAGGGCUGCUAAUACCCCAUGAUGUCUAGAGGGUUAGAAACUUCUAGACGAAAGGCUUCGGUCGCUUCGGGAGGGGCCUGCGUCCCAUCAGCUAGUUGGUAGGGUAAUGGCCUACCAAGGCGAAGACGGGUAGGGGACCUGAGAGGGUGACCCCCCACAAUGGAACUGAAACACGGUCCAUACACCUACGGGUGGCAGCAGUAGGGAAUAUUGCACAAUGGGCGAAAGCCUGAUGCAGCAACGCCGCGUGCGCGAAGAAGGCCUUCGGGUUGUAAAGCGCUUUUCGGGGAGAAGAGAAAGGACGGUAUCCCCGGAAUAAGGAUCGGCUAACUACGUGCCAGCAGCCGCGGUAAAACGUAGGAUCCGAGCGUUAUCCGAAUUCACUGGGCGUAAAGCGCGUGUAGGCGGUUCGGUAAGUUGGAUGUGAAAGCUCCCGGCUCAACUGGGAGAGGACGUUCAAAACUGUUGGACUAGAGGGCGGAAGAGGAAGGUGGAAUUCCCGGU
rnacentral:rRNA from 1 species